GACGAACGCUGGCGGCGUGCUUAACACAUGCAAGUCGACAUGAGUGGCGAACGGGUGAGUAAUACGUGGGUAACCUGCCCUCCUUUUUGGGAUAAGCCUUGGAAACGGGGUCUAAUACCGAAUAAAGGGGGAUGGGCUCGCGGCCUAUCGGCUUGUUGGUGGGGUGAUGGCCUACCAAGGCGGUGACGGGUAGCCGGCCUGAGAGGGUGACCGGCCACAUUGGGACUGCGCUACCGCCCAGACUACGAAGGGGGGCGGAAGUGGGGGCUAUUGAAGAAUGGGCGAAAGCCUGAUGCAGCGAGGCCGCGGGAGGUAUGAGGGUUUUCGGGUUGUAAAGUUAGUGCGCUAUAGAACGGGUAGGUGGAGAAGAAGCGCCGGCUAACUACGUGCCAGCAGCCGCGGUAAUAC
rnacentral:rRNA from 1 species